CCCCCGGGAGGCGGAGGCUGCAGUGAGCCGAGAUCGCACCACUGCACUCCAGCCUAGGCAACAGUGAGACUCCAUCUCAAAAAAAUAAUAAUAAAAUAAAUGUUUAUAUGUUUCAUUUUUGUAAUUUAAGAGGGAAAAAAUAUAUGUAUUUCGUACCUAUUUUGGCAACCUAAAAUAAGCCCUCGUUACAUGAUGCCACUUGAAACAUCUGUAGACGGCUGUUACUGUCAUACAGAAAUACCUGGAACAUUUCACUAAGGGCAUUGCUAAGUACAAAAUUAAAAUAUUGUUAUUUUGCCCCAGGAGGUCAUUUUCAGAUCGUAAUAAAAUUGCAACCUAAAAUGCUGCUUAUUAAAAUUUUUCUCUUGACUAAAAUAACCAAGAAGUGAUCUGCUUCAUAAUUUUUCAAGAUCCUUGUUUGUAGAGGUAUUAUAUAUGGUAUAUUAUUUUAUUUUUAACCUAACAGAAUUAAAACAAGCUUCAGAAAGUAAGCUUUUAGAAAUACAGACUGAAAAGAACAAACAGAAGAUUGAUUUGGACAGUAUGGAAAACUCAGAGAGGAUAAAGAUCAUACGACAAAACCUACAGAUGGAGAUAAAAAUUACUACCGUUAUUCAACAUGUGUUCCAGAACCUUAUUUUGGGGAGUAAAGUCAAUUGGGCAGAGGAUCCUGCCCUUAAGGAAAUUGUUCUGCAGCUUGAGAAGAAUGUAGACAUGAUGUAAUA
rnacentral:sRNA from 1 species